rnacentral:rRNA from 1 species
GACGAACGCUGGCGGCGUGCUUAACACAUGCAAGUCGAACGGUGAAGCGCCUUCCUUUUUGGUGGGUGUGGAUGAGUGGCGAACGGGUGAGUAACACGUGAGUAACCUGCCCCCUUCUUCUGGAUAACCGCAUGAAAGUGUGGCUAAUACGGGAUAUUCUGGGUCUGUCGCAUGAUGGGUCUGGGAAAGAUAUUGUUUCGGUGGGGGAUGGGCUCGCGGCCUAUCAGCUUGUUGGUGGGGUGAGGGCCUACCAAGGCGGUGACGGGUAGCCGGCCUGGGAGGGUGGACGGUCACACUGGGACUGAGGCACGGCCCAGACUCCUACGGGAGGCAGCAGUGGGGAAUAUUGCACAAUGGGCGCCAGCCUGAUGCAGCGCCGCCGCGUGAGGGAUGGAGGCCUUCGGGUUGUGAACCUCUUUCGCCAGUGAAGCAGGCCUGCCUCGUUUGUGGGUGGGUUGACGGUAGCUGGAUAAGAAGCGCCGGCUAACUACGUG